rnacentral:rRNA from 1 species
UUUACCCGCUGAACUUAAGCAUAUCAAUAAGCGGAGGAAAAGAAACCAACAGGGAUUGCCCUAGUAACGGCGAGUGAAGCGGCAACAGCUCAAAUUUGAAAUCUGGCUCUUUCAGAGUCCGAGUUGUAAUUUGCAGAGGGCGCUUUGGCUUUGGCAGCGGUCCAAGUUCCUUGGAACAGGACGUCACAGAGGGUGAGAAUCCCGUACGUGGUCGCUAGCUAUUGCCGUGUAAAGCCCCUUCGACGAGUCGAGUUGUUUGGGAAUGCAGCUCUAAAUGGGAGGUAAAUUUCUUCUAAAGCUAAAUAUUGGCCAGAGACCGAUAGCGCACAAGUAGAGUGAUCGAAAGAUGAAAAGCACUUUGGAAAGAGAGUCAAACAGCACGUGAAAUUGUUGAAAGGGAAGCGCUUGCAGCCAGACUUGCUUGCAGUUGCUCAUCCGGGCUUUUGCCCGGUGCACUCUUCUGUAGGCAGGCCAGCAUCAGUUUGGGCGGUGGGAUAAAGGUCUCUGUCACGUACCUUCCUUCGGGUUGGCCUUAUAGGGGAGACGCCAUACCACCAGCCUGGACUGAGGUCCGCGCAUCUGCUAGGAUGCUGGCGUAAUGGCUGUAAGCGGCCCGUCUUGAAACACGGACCAAGGAGUCUAACAUCUAUGCGAGUGUUUGGGUGUCAAGCCCGAACGCGUAAUGAAAGUGAACGGAGGUGGGAACCCGCAAGGGUGCACCAUCGACCGAUCCUGAAGUUUACGGAAGGAUUUGAGUAAGAGCAUGGCUGUUGGGACCCGAAAGAUGGUGAACUAUGCUUGAAUAGGGUGAAGCCAGAGGAAACUCUGGUGGAGGCUCGCAGCGGUUCUGACGUGCAAAUCGAUCGUCAAAUUUGGGCAUAGGGGCGAAAGACUAAUCGAACUAUCUAGUAGCUGGUUCCUGCCGAAGUUUCCC